GCUUGCUCGUUUGUCUCCAUUAGGUAUGUAUAUCAAGUGGGUUUGCUCCUUCCUGUGAGGGUAGAUGCUCUGUAUGCUGUUGGAUUUGAGUGGAAACUUUGCUUCUUGUGAGUGGGAAUUGUUAAUGAUAAAUGAGCUGGAGAGGAGAAGUUUGAUGGAGAUGGGAAGAGGUAUAACUUAUCUGAGGAAGGAAUAAGAUUCUCCUACAAGGCUUGUAAUCAUCAUUCUGAACGCUGUACUCCAAACCAAAGCACUUUGCUGUCUCACUCUGACAUCAAAUGAGAGCGAUUGCUCUCCUGCUGAAGUGAAAGCAUUGCUAAGCAGCACCAGGGCAGCAGUUACAAAAGUAAAGGCAGAGAUUUCCCUGCUGGUGCUGUGAGAAGGUGGCGAUGGGUCCUUAAGGAACCAGGCUCGACCCUGCGCAGGGGUGUUUGGAUACAUAUCUGCCUGAACCUGAAGCCAGAACACUAUCCAGCCUCAGAUGCAGCUCAGAAUUUAGGUGAUGCUUCGGUGCUCAUGACACACAGCUCUGCUGAGCCUGGCAGCCUCAGGUGAAGGUGCUUCACCACAUACCAGAGGGGAUUUAGCUUGGUCUCAUGGAUCCAGCUGGAGAAGGAUCUGAUAUGUCUGGUAAUGGAGUGGAUUGUGAACAGCAGAAAAUUAACUACAUGCAGGAGGUAUCGAGUUUGAGAAAAGAGUGCAGCAUUCACAGGAAGGUUAUCUUCAUACCAGCUCUUUCACUAGGAAGGUCAGAGGAAGAAGACUGCUUGUUCAAGCUAAUCAGGAAAUGUUCUAAUCAUCAAGAGGAAUAUCUGAAAUGUAAAGUGCACAGCAUACUUCAUGUGAUAGCAACCUGCAGCAUAUGGAUUGCAUUUAAUCAGAAGCAGUAUUCAUCUGCUAGACUCAAUGCCUGA
rnacentral:lncRNA from 1 species